rnacentral:rRNA from 1 species
CUACGGGUCGCUCCAGUGGGGAAUAUUGGACAAUGGGGGAAACCCUGAUCCAGCAAUGCCGCGUGUGUGAAGAAGGCCUGCGGGUUGUAAAGCACUUUCGGUUGGGAGGACUGCUUCUAGCACUAAUAUUGUUGGAAGUUGACGUUACCUUCAGAAGAAGCACCGGCUGAACUCCGUGCCAGCAGCCGCGGUAAUACGGAGGGUGCAAGCGUAAAUCGGAAUUACUGGGCGUAAAGCGCGCGUAGGCGGCUAGAUCAGUCGGGUGUGAAAGCCCGGGCUUAACCUGGGAACUGCAUCCGAUACUGUCUAGCUUGAGUACAGGAGAGGAGAGUGGAAUUCCACAUGUAGCGGUGAAAUGCGUAGAUAUGUGGAGGAACACCAAUGGCGAAGGCAGCUCUCUGGCCUGAUACUGACGCUGAGGUGCGAAAGCGUGGGGAGCAAACAGGAUUAGAUACCCGUGUAGUC